CCCGGGGCGGCGGGGUUGGCUCUAACGAAUUUGAAUGAGGAGCCUCAGCGCUUUCGGCGCCAUUUUCGAGUGAUGCCUGAUCUCAUCAAUCUAGCGGGAGAGACAGGAUAACCUGUCCGAGAGUAUAGCGCCACUAUGACUCCGCCGGAAAAAUUACUUUAAAAAUCGCCAAAAAUUACUUGGAGCAAAGGGCAGUCGGCGGAGCUUCGCCAAGGCUGGCGCAGUCGGUUUUGACCUGUAGCAGAGAACCAAUUCUGGAGAACAGCCUCACUUCUUUGAUUGAAUACUCACAUAAUGCACUGGAACAUGACAUGAGAUUAAGGUUUAAUAAUGAUAGAAUGAAGACCGCAAUAAAAGAGACCUCUACUUAGCUCAGCAAUUCUUACCUUGUAAGUAUUAACUCUGAGUUUCCCUAUCAUUGUCAUAAAAGGUUACUGUUUGGUGUCAUGUUCUGGUUUAUUUCUGAUUUUUUUCCCUGCUUAUCCUAUUAUGGUAACUUUCUAACCUCUCCUAGCCCCUCUACACGUUGAGAUUUGAUGUUAAUUAAUAGUUUAGAGCAAGAAUAAUGCCAUUGCCUUGGUAAGUUAUUUAGGGAAGUAUUUUAUACCCAGGCCCUAUAAUCUCCAAGUCUGAGAAUCACAGUUUUGAGCCCUUUUCCUUCAAAGGAAUUAACAAAUAGGUAAUUGUCUUUUUUAGUACUCAUUAUUCAGGUUUAUUGGUCUUAUGGUUUUAUAAAUUGAGAGUAUUCUCUCCACUUGAGAAAUGAUUUUGUAAAGUCUGUUUUUAAUUUCAUUAGGUUACACUUGAGACUUCUUUGUGAAGAGCUUAACAUUUAGCUGUUAAAACUUGAGGAGGCGUGAGCCACCUUGCCCUGCCUAAGAUGGGAUUUUUUUUAAAGCUGUUCAUUUGUGGAAUGUGGAUGUUCUAGAAGUUGUAGAACAGUGAUGUUCAUGUAUACAAUGCUGUCAAACAAUGGCAGUUUGGGGUUCAUUUUUACAAAUUAAAUAUAGAGAUGGAGUAUUUUUCAAGUUUAUUUUUCAAUUUAGAGUUCUUAAACUUUCGCUGCUUAACAAAAAAUUCAGAAAUAAUUAUAUGUCUUUAUUUCUUUUUCUUUUUUGAAUUAUUUUUAUUUUUCACAUUGCAUUUUCGAAUACAGACACUUAAAUUAUAUAUUUCUGUUUGUAAAUGUAAACAUAUGUUUACCUGCAAAUGUAAAUACAUGUUGACAUCUGUUAUGUAAAUUUAAAUAUAUAUUUGGUGCUUAAAAAAAUCUCAAAACAUUGUCAGCAGUUAAGAAUAUUACAUCUCUUUUUAAUAAUCUACAACAAUAAAAAUCUUAAAACAUUGACUUUAUAAAUAGGGAAAGAAAAGAUGAAGCAGAAAAUUCACCAGUGCUGUCAAUGUUAGUUCCAUAAACAAAAAUGAUAGAGAUAAAUUACUUCCUAAUUCCAAAGACUUAUUAAAUUUGGCUGCUAUCAAGAGCAAGGCUAGUAAAAAGAAAUAACAAAAACUAUUUCUCACAUAUGACUAGUUAUCAAUAUAAGUUUUUAGAAGUAUUAUCAGGUUAGCAAUAAAAGCAAUGGUUUGUAAUCAUAUCAGCCUAGAAAAUAUUGUCAAUUGUAAAUUAUAAAUAGUACAAACAUAGGACUGACUGAAAAUACUGCAAAAAAAAUCACAAUGUUUUUAUCAGUGGAGCAGUAAGUAAUCAAUAUAUGGCAAAUGAUAUAAAAUCUGUUGUGCUUUCAAUAAAACCAUAAUGAUGUAAUUAUAUUAUGCACUAGACAUAGCCAAAGUUUCUCUUAUUUUUAAUUAUUGUGAUAGAAAUUUACUCUUGUGUAAAUUGCUGUAUACCUGUGUCACUGAUGAGGAAAUUCUAAUUAUCUUGAAUAGUUUUAAAAAUGGGAAUGUUUCUGGGAGAAAGGAAUUUCCCAAAAGAGAAAAAAUAAAUUGCUCUUUUGGCAGUUGGAUUAGUGGUGAAGAGUGUUAUAACCCAAAAAAUUCAUAAAGGUACCAGCUAUUGUCAGCAUUUGGUAGUAAAGAGGAUGUCUUAUAAACCUAUUGAUAUGAUGAAGUGCCAUUAAUUUAGUAAAUAUAUAAAAUCUAGGCUCUUAUGUAUUCUAUAAUUUAUGAAUAUAGAGAAAGUUCACAAUAUGCUGCAGCUGUUUUUCAUUGUUCAAAUAAUUGCUAUUUUUGAGAAUUAGACAUUUAAUAAAAAUGCCAGGUGUUCCUUGUCCUCAUUCUUCCAUAUUUGUCUUAUAUAUGUUUAGCAAAAUAAUUGAGUUAAAUAUGAGCUUUUAUGCUUAAGCGAUGGCUGUGUUUUCGCUCUUAAUAAAAUUGCACCAUAAAAUUUGAUUUUUAGUGCCAAAAUUAUGAAAAGGGGUUGGGCUUGUUUCCUCAACCUGAACAACUUCUUACCUUCAAGAUGGAUGAUUCAAAGAGGAAUAAUAGGGAAUUUCUUAGUAUGAAGUUACUUGGUUGUUUUCUUAGGAAAACAAAAGGUAGAAUUUAACAGCAUGGGGCCUGAUUUAAAUAGAAAAUAAAUGUACAGAUAUAAUCAACUCUGCUGUCAUGGGGAUUUCAAGUUAUAAAUGCAAUAAGUAACAUCCCCUGACUUAUUCUAUGUACUUUUGCCCUAAUCUACUACCUAUUAGUCUGAAACUUGAGUUUUAAAAUUUAAUCUCUACGUAAAAGAGGAAUAAAUUGAAUGCAUAAUUAAAAUAUAUGUUGUCAAUUAUCACACCUUUUUGCCUAGACUAUAAGCUUCAUUUUUCUUGUUAUAUCCACUAAAUUAAUUUAUGCUUGUUUUUCCAUUAAAACAAGUUACUUUGGCUGGGUGCAGUGACUCACGCCUGUAAUCCCAGCACUUUGGGAGGCUGAGGUGGGCAGAUCAUGAGGUCAGGAGUUCGAGACCAGCCUGUCCAACAUGGUGAAACCCUGUCUCUACUAAAAAUACAAAAAUUAGCCGGGCAUGGUGGCCGGCACCUGUAGUCCCAGCUGCUUGGGAGGCUGAGGCAGGAGAAUUGCUUGAAACCAGAAGGCAGAGGUUGCUGUGAACCGAGAUCGCGUCACUGCACUCCCGCCUGGGCGAAAGAGUGAAACUCUGUCUCAAAAAUAAAUAAAUAAAUAAAUAACAAAAAUUAGCCAGGCAUGGUGGCGUGCACCUGUAAUCCCAGCUACUCAGGAGGCUGAGGCAGGAGAAUUGCUUAAACCUGGAAGGCAGAGGUUGCAGUGAGCUGAGAUUGCACCAUUGCACUCCAGCCUGGGUGACAGAGCAAGACUCCAUCUC